rnacentral:rRNA from 1 species
UACGAAGGGGGCUAGCGUUGUUCGGAAUUACUGGGCGUAAAGCGCACGUAGGCGGAUACUUAAGUCAGGGGUGAAAUCCCGGGGCUCAACCCCGGACUGCCUUUGUAUACUGGGUAUCUGGAGUCCGGAAGAGGUGAGUGGAAUUCCGAGUGUAGAGGUGAAAUUCGUAGAUAUUCGGAGGAACACCAGUGGCGAAGGCGGCUCACUGGUCCGGUACUGACGCUGAGGUGCG